CAGCCGCCACGGUAAUACGUGGGGUGCAAGCGUUAAUCGGAAUUACUGGGCGUAAAGCGUGCGCAGGCGGUUUGUUAAGACAGAUGUGAAAUCCCCGGGCUUAACCUGGGAACUGCAUUUGUGACUGGCAAGCUAGAGUCUGGCAGAGGGGGGUGGAAUUCCGCGUGUAGCAGUGAAAUGCGUAGAUAUGCGGAGGAACACCGAUGGCGAAGGCAGCCCCCUGGGCCAACACUGACGCUCAUGCACGAAAGCGUGGGGAGCAAACAGGAUUAGAUACCCCCGUAGUCCCUGUCUCUUAUAC
rnacentral:rRNA from 1 species